rnacentral:rRNA from 1 species
CCCUUAGAUGUUCUGGGCCGCACGCGCGCUACACUGAUGCAUUCGACGAGUCUAAAACCUGCUCUGAUAGGGGUGGGUAAUCUUUUGAAUGUGCAUCGUGAUUGGGAUAGAUGAUUGCAAUUUUUCAUCUUCAACGAGGAAUGCCUAGUAAACGCAAGUCAUCAGCUUGCAUUGAUUACGUCCCUGCCCUUUGUACACACCGCCCGUCGCUCCUACCGAUUGAAUGAUCCGAUGAAUAUCAUGGAUUGAGGAUGCAAGUAGGUUCACCUAUCUUCAUCUUCGAGAAGUGAAGUAAAUCUUAUCAUUUAGAGGAAGGAGAAGUCGUAACA